rnacentral:misc_RNA from 1 species
GAAGUAAAAGUCGUAACAAGGUCUCCGUUGGUGAACCAGCGGAGGGAUCAUUACCGAGUUUACAACUCCCAAACCCCUGUGAACAUACCUAUACGUUGCCUCGGCGGAUCAGCCCGCGCCCUGUAAAAAGGGACGGCCCGCCCGAGGACCCUAAACUCUGUUUUUAGUGGAACUUCUGAGUAAAACAAACAAAUAAAUCAAAACUUUCAACAACGGAUCUCUUGGUUCUGGCAUCGAUGAAGAACGCAGCAAAAUGCGAUAAGUAAUGUGAAUUGCAGAAUUCAGUGAAUCAUCGAAUCUUUGAACGCACAUUGCGCCCGCCAGUAUUCUGGCGGGCAUGCCUGUUCGAGCGUCAUUUCAACCCUCAAGCUCAGCUUGGUGUUGGGACUCGCGGUAACCCGCGUUCCCCAAAUCGAUUGGCGGUCACGUCGAGCUUCCAUAGCGUAGUAAUCAUACACCUCGUUACUGGUAAUCGUCGCGGCCACGCCGUAAAACCCCAACUUCUGAAUGUUGACCUCGGAUCAGGUAGGAAUACCCGCUGAACCUAAGCAUAUCAAUAAGCGGAGGA